UUGAUGGGAACCUUAGGAUGAUUUGUGCUUUAAUUUUCUAUUCCCAGAAGGUGCCCUGGGUGGUGUCCAUUGUGUGGUUUCUGCUCAUGGGGAGGCUUCUCUCCCUUACCUUUGGGUGGUAUUACAUAUUUGUGUGGCUCACUUAAGAGGUGUCUAUGAGGAGGUUUAGGUUCAUGAGGUGCUCCCUUUCCUUUACCCUUGGAUGGUUUGUCACCGGGGAAUGGUUUCAUGGAUGGCUUACCGUCAGGGAAUCCUUCAACAUGUGGAGGUUUACCCCCUGAGUGUCGUGGAGGUUUAUAUGUGUCCUCAACUUCCACAUUCAAUAGGUGUCUAUGAGGAGGUUUGGGUUCAUGAGGUGCUCCCUUUCCCUUACCCUUGGAUGGUUUUUCACCGGGGAAUGGCUUCAUGGGUGCUUUAUCGGUAGGGAACCCCUCAACAUGUGGAGGUUUACCCCCCGAGUGUCUUGGAGGUUUACCACCUGAAUGUCGUGGAGGUUUAUGUGUGCCCUCAACUUCCACACUCAAUAAGUUUCUAUGAGGAGGUUUUUCCCCAUGUGGUGGCUCCUCUCCUUUACCGCCAGGUCCACUGUGUAUUGGCGGUCGGUGUUCAGGGAAUGGCUUGUGUUCUGGUUGCUUCUCACCUGGGAAAGGCUUCCCCUUGGGAAGCUCAUUAUCAUGAUGUUGGUUAGCUAGAGAAGGAGUGAUGAUAAAAACCACCACUCCAACGAGAAACAAAAGCAAGCAGGCUUUAGACAUGUUUGGGAAUAUAUCUCUCGG
rnacentral:lncRNA from 1 species